CCUGGCAGUCAGAGGCGAUGAAGGGCGUGCUAAUCUGCGAUAAGCGCCGGUAAGGUGAUAUGAACCGUUAUAACCGGCGAUACCCGAAUGGGGAAACCCAGUGUGACUCGUCACACUAUCAUUAACUGAAUCCAUAGGUUAAUGAGGCGAACCGGGGGAACUGAAACAUCUAAGUACCCCGAGGAAAAGAAAUCAACCGAGAUUCCCCCAGUAGCGGCGAGCGAACGGGGAGGAGCCCAGAGCCUGAAUCAGCAUGUGUGUUAGUGGAAGCGUCUGGAAAGGCGCGCGAUACAGGGUGACAGCCCCGUACACAAAAGCGCAUGUGCUGUGAGCUCGAUGAGUAGGGCGGGACACGUGGUAUCCUGUCUGAAUAUGGGGGGACCAUCCUCCAAGGCUAAAUACUCCUGACUGACCGAUAGUGAACCAGUACCGUGAGGGAAAGGCGAAAAGAACCCCGGCGAGGGGAGUGAAAAAGAACCUGAAACCGUGUACGUACAAGCAGUGGGAGCACAGGUUUACCUGUGUGACUGCGUACCUUUUGUAUAAUGGGUCAGCGACUUAUAUUCUGUAGCAAGGUUAACCGUAUAGGGGAGCCGUAGGGAAACCGAGUCUUAACCGGGCGUUAAGUUGCAGGGUAUAGACCCGAAACCCGGUGAUCUAGCCAUGGGCAGGUUGAAGGUUGGGUAACACUAACUGGAGGACCGAACCGACUAAUGUUGAAAAAUUAGCGGAUGACCUGUGGCUGGGGGUGAAAGGCCAAUCAAACCGGGAGAUAGCUGGUUCUCCCCGAAAGCUAUUUAGGUAGCGCCUCGUGAAUUCAUCUCCGGGGGUAGAGCACUGUUUCGGCUAGGGGGCCAUCCCGGCUUACCAACCCGAUGCAAACUGCGAAUACCGGAGAAUGUUAUCACGGGAGACACACGGCGGGUGCUAACGUCCGUCGUGAAGAGGGAAACAACCCAGACCGCCAGCUAAGGUCCCAAAGUCAUGGUUAAGUGGGAAACGAUGUGGGAAGGCCCAGACAGCCAGGAUGUUGGCUUAGAAGCAGCCAUCAUUUAAAGAAAGCGUAAUAGCUCACUGGUCGAGUCGGCCUGCGCGGAAGAUGUAACGGGGCUAAACCAUGCACCGAAGCUGCGGCAGCGACGCUGAUGCGUUGUUGGGUAGGGGAGCGUUCUGUAAGCCUGUGAAGGUGGCCUGUGAGGGUUGCUGGAGGUAUCAGAAGUGCGAAUGCUGACAUAAGUAACGAUAAAGCGGGUGAAAAGCCCGCUCGCCGGAAGACCAAGGGUUCCUGUCCAACGUUAAUCGGGGCAGGGUGAGUCGACCCCUAAGGCGAGGCCGAAAGGCGUAGUCGAUGGGAAACGGGUUAAUAUUCCCGUACUUGGUGUUACUGCGAAGGGGGGACGGAGAAGGCUAUGUUGGCCGGGCGACGGUUGUCCCGGUUUAAGCGUGUAGGUGUGUGUUCCAGGUAAAUCCGGUUCACUUUAACACUGAGGCGUGAUGACGAGGCACUACGGUGCUGAAGCAACAAAUGCCCUGCUUCCAGGAAAAGCCUCUAAGCAUCAGGUAACAUCAAAUCGUACCCCAAACCGACACAGGUGGUCAGGUAGAGAAUACCAAGGCGCUUGAGAGAACUCGGGUGAAGGAACUAGGCAAAAUGGUGCCGUAACUUCGGGAGAAGGCACGCUGACACGUAGGUGAAGUGAUUUACUCAUGGAGCUGAAGUCAGUCGAAGAUACCAGCUGGCUGCAACUGUUUAUUAAAAACACAGCACUGUGCAAACACGAAAGUGGACGUAUACGGUGUGACGCCUGCCCGGUGCCGGAAGGUUAAUUGAUGGGGUCAGCGCAAGCGAAGCUCCUGAUCGAAGCCCCGGUAAACGGCGGCCGUAACUAUAACGGUCCUAAGGUAGCGAAAUUCCUUGUCGGGUAAGUUCCGACCUGCACGAAUGGCGUAAUGAUGGCCAGGCUGUCUCCACCCGAGACUCAGUGAAAUUGAACUCGCUGUGAAGAUGCAGUGUACCCGCGGCAAGACGGAAAGACCCCGUGAACCUUUACUAUAGCUUGACACUGAACAUUGAGCCUUGAUGUGUAGGAUAGGUGGGAGGCUUUGAAGCGUGGACGCCAGUCUGCAUGGAGCCGGCCUUGAAAUACCACCCUUUAAUGUUUGAUGUUCUAACGUGGACCCGUGAUCCGGGUUGCGGACAGUGUCUGGUGGGUAGUUUGACUGGGGCGGUCUCCUCCUAAAGAGUAACGGAGGAGCACGAAGGUUGGCUAAUCCUGGUCGGACAUCAGGAGGUUAGUGCAAUGGCAUAAGCCAGCUUGACUGCGAGCGUGACGGCGCGAGCAGGUGCGAAAGCAGGUCAUAGUGAUCCGGUGGUUCUGAAUGGAAGGGCCAUCGCUCAACGGAUAAAAGGUACUCCGGGGAUAACAGGCUGAUACCGCCCAAGAGUUCAUAUCGACGGCGGUGUUUGGCACCUCGAUGUCGGCUCAUCACAUCCUGGGGCUGAAGUAGGUCCCAAGGGUAUGGCUGUUCGCCAUUUAAAGUGGUACGCGAGCUGGGUUUAGAACGUCGUGAGACAGUUCGGUCCCUAUCUGCCGUGGGCGCUGGAGAACUGAGGGGGGCUGCUCCUAGUACGAGAGGACCGGAGUGGACGCAUCACUGGUGUUCGGGUUGUCAUGCCAAUGGCACUGCCCGGUAGCUAAAUGCGGAAGAGAUAAGUGCUGAAAGCAUCUAAGCACGAAACUUGCCCCGAGAUGAGUUCUCCCUGAGACUUAGAGUCUCCUGAAGGAACGUUGAAGACGACGACGUUGAUAGGCCGGGUGUGUAAGCGCAGCGAUGCGUUGAGCUAACCGGUACUAAUGAACCGUGAGGCUUAACCUU
rnacentral:rRNA from 1 species